rnacentral:rRNA from 1 species
CUAGCGACUUCGAGUUUGAUCCUGGCUCAGGACGAACGCUGGCGGCGUGCCUAACACAUGCAAGUCGAACGGAGCACUUCGGUGCUUAGUGGCGAACGGGUGAGUAACGCGUGAGAAACCUGCCUUUCAGUGGGGGACAACAGUUGGAAACGACUGCUAAUACCGCAUAAUGUUUCGAGAGGGCAUCCUCUUGAAACCAAAGCUUUAUGUGCUGAAAGAUGGUCUCGCGUCUGAUUAGCUAGAUGGCGGGGUAACGGCCCACCAUGGCGACGAUCAGUAGCCGGUCUGAGAGGAUGAACGGCCACAUUGGGACUGAGAUACGGCCCAG